UAACAACAAUUCAGCUGUGUGAGAGCAGCAAUGAGUGUUGCCACGCUUUAACAUUUUCUUUUAUACUCGCCGCAGUUCGAUAGACAGGUGCGCAAACAUUUAUCGAUAAAUUUGCAUGUAAAUAGUUGUACGAUUGUGAAAUACUGAUUGGUGUAUAAAAAAACAAGUUGAUAUUGGAGGUUUAGCAAGAAAUCUGUUUAUUGGCGAAAUUCAUGAUAAAUUAUUAUAGGUGUGAGAUACUUUGAAUAUUGGCAACUAUAAGCGUAGCUCUCAAUUAAGCGCGUGACUGGGUUAACAAAACAAUGUGAGCAGGUGUGGCGGCGGUUAUAGAGUCUAUAAUAUAGACUUAUGUACAUGCAUAUGUAUUUAGCUAUGUGUGUUCCAUAUGAUGUCCAGUACUAGAUGCCAGCUAAUUGCUGUUCUGUUGAAAAACUUUUUUGGCUAAACUCUUUUAAUGACUAAAACAGGAAAGGGGAUAUAUUAAAAACUGCAAGACAAAAUUUAAUUACUUAUAAAUUUCUAAAAUGGAAAUAUGCUUUGGAAUGAAACUAAAAAAAUAAUAGUAAUAAUAAAAGGCGCUACUACUGACAUGGAGCAAGAGAGAA